rnacentral:rRNA from 1 species
GGGGCGGGGCGGGGGCCGGCCUGGCUAGGCAGCGGGCGGAUCCCAAACGGGGGGAGGCGGAGGGCGCAGGGGCGGCUAAGCCGAGCUAAGCACGACUUCGCCCGACGAGGCCGGGCGGCGGCCGACGGCGAGGGGGGCCGCCCAGGAGGCCAGUCGGCGGCGGCGCAGCCCUCGAUCCCAUAGCCGAGCGGCGUAACCAACCGCGCGCGUACCGGUACCACGGGUUGCCCGAGGACGGGUUACGCAGCCGCCCCCACUGCGCCGCGGAGCUGGGGCUGGCGACCCGGCAGCGGCUCAGGGCCUGGCGGCUCGACUAGCGCGCGUAGGUCGGGUUGCGGAUGAGGCUCCCGGCCUCCGUACGACAGAUGUUGAUGCACGUCGCGGAGUAGUACUUGACGGAGAGGACGGUCCAAAAAUGAAAACCUAGUCAGGGAGACUUCUGAAUGAAUGGCCUACCACUGUAACUACAGUGGCGAAAGUCAUUAUCGCUUCUUAAUUUCCUAUGGACCCGUUUAGAUCAAUCCCUACGAAACCUCGCACUUCUCUUUUCACUUUUACGACUUAAAACACAUUUUCUUCAAGUCAUAUAAGUCCGCCUCCAUCAGAGAGAGACUAUUCGUUUUGUAUUAUACUAUAAUAAAACGUCAAUUAAAGAACACAAUUGAUAUAUGGAUCUCGUCACAACUAAAUUAUUCAAACGGACGUACGUACAGGUACAACUUAAUCAUGACCUUGUGGUAACGACAUAAAACUAAACACGGUGUACAUCUUGUCUUGUUUAUGUUCAUGUGUUGAGUAGCCUUCGCUAUCAAGUUAAAUAAGUAUACAAGAGGGAAAAGAAGGGGCCUUUGAGAACGCUAAGUGUCUACAGGCACCUGUAAUACAAACACAAUCUUAUGAGACCGUGGGAAUGUCAGAGAAACGUCCUAGACACUACCUUUCGACCGAUGAGUGAUGUCAUUCUACACGAUUGGAUAAAACGGGGUGAUUUUAGUUCCACCUUCCAACCCGAUGAGCGAUGGAAUUCUACGUUAUUGGACAAUAAUAAUAAUAAUAAUACAGGGUCACGUUGUAUAACACAUUACCUCUUCAUGAAACUCGAAAGUAAUGGACAUAAUACGACAGAAUUCUACGCGAUUGGAUAAUCAAGUGUCUUAUCCCUUUGUAUAGAAGACAAAUUCAAUGAAACAAAAUACUUAAUACUAAGUAAUGGACAUAAUACGACAGGGGUAGGUAAACCAUAGUAGGAUUACAUAAAGCACUUAGUACAUGUCCAUUUCGAAUAGUUCACAGAACACCUGUUGUAACAACAACUAUAGAGUAAAUUGGUUCAACCACCUAACACAUGUGAAACAAAGGAACUUGUCCAACUAUUGAACUAGUUAGUUUUGGUAAAUAAGUUCGCCUCAUAGUAUAACCAUUUCCGUACCACAAAGAUGCUCUCAGCAUAAGAACCUCGAGUGGUACCAGAAUAUAGAUGAAUACGUAACCUCUGGGAACAAGACAUGUAUAAAGUACACAAGUUGUUGACAAAAUGACCUGGUGAACUCCACAAUAUGGCAAAGAAUCUUAAGAAAUCGUUGAAACUAACCCUCUUUAAAACAAACUCAAACACCCCCGGUCAAGGAUAUUCAAGUGAAGGUCUAUACUGACGCCUUGGGGGCGCCUACCUGUGACCACUUAACAACGACUGGUUCCGGAAGGACCUAUCUACGUUAGUAGACAUACCUCAAUACGGAGCGUGGGUCCUCUUGGUCCCAGUUGGUAAACAAAGUUUCGUGAAGUUACAAUAACUAGGGAAUGCUCGUUUAUUGUUGGAACCUUCUUCACAGUCAUUUCCGUUAAUGAAAUCUUAUGCGUCACGGAAGAGAAAACCCCGUUUUUCCGACCGUUUCAAUGAGCUUACGGGUUUACUUCUAGACUAACGACUUCAUUUAGUCAAGAAAUGUUUAUGUAACUGUUCUGUACCCUCACCCUUAGCAGGGCUGCGCGGAUGUGGUUUAGACAAAGGAUUUGUACGAGACUUCCAACAGGGACGACUUCGUAGUUUGUCGGUGCUCUUACGUUGUUACGGGUUCUUCUUCUACCUUUUUGGAUUUGAAGCUCGAUUAGUCCCGUCAGAGUGACUUCCAAGAGUGUCGAUACGACUUGGAUAAAGAGUUGUUGGAGUCUCUUCACUAGAUGCGAGAGCCUUAAGUGGUUUCCGUUAAGUAGGACGACAAAGAGUACGUGUCGUGGUUUUUCAAUUGCACUGUGUUGGGUUGUGGUUCCAGAGACUUGGCGAACUUUCCUUGUCCAGACCACCUAGCUACGGUUCACUUUCCCUACCCUCUUACGGUUUACGGGAGAAACAAUUACCGGCUUUACCCGUCUUGUACAGAGGCAAACGUUCUUGGGUCAGAUCAGGACUUGACUGUCUGGGAAGAUAACUUCCUAUAAGAGCACCUUCCGCUUGAUCUCACCAUCUUUACCUCUUCGGACACUUGUUACUAAUGUUAUCAUCUUCCUUAUUGAAUCAAGGUCUUCACGGAUCGUUGGUGUCGUGAUUCAGAAGUGUCCUACUCAGUUACAGAAGGUACUUGUCAAGUAGAGUGGGAUCACGUUUUCGUCGAAGACUUAGUUUAUCACAAAGGUCGUCGAUAGUACUUCUGUUACCAAAGCACUAAUUGCUUCUUGAAGGAAGACAUAGACUCCGUGGCCUCUACGUCGUACUCCUUGUACGAGAUCAAUUAGAUUACCGUAGGCGUUUCAACGUACCAAAGUUACCUGUUCGAGUUAACGGUUACGUUAAUGGAAGAGUAUACAGACAUCGUAGAAACGGGAAUGACGGAGGUUGUCGAAAAGGAGUUUUUGGAAAACGGCCCUAAGGUGGUUGAUCGAAUUAACCCUCGGUCACCAACGUGUUGUACGUCAAAGAGGUUCCUAAACAAGGUGGUGGAUACCGGGUAAUAUGAAUGUUGGGAAGCAAAUGUUGUUUGUGUCUCCUACCAUUACUCUCACUUUUUUCAUGAUGUAGUCUAAGCUUAGAACUAGGACCGUUGUGAGUCAUACUCAUACCAAAAGCCAACAGAUCUUUAAAGUUGGUACUUCCUUCCCUAAGUGUACACGUAGUAAAACUACUGUUGUUGGCAAGGAGAAGUGGAUUACCACAUAGACCGAGGGGGAACCUGUCCGUCUACGUUAUAUGACAACUCCUAUCGUCUCAUCAUCUCCUUUUGAUAUGAUUGUACAAAGUUUUAGUUUGUUCAUCUCUUCAGUCCUCUUUACGGGGGUACUCAUCACCUUUAAACUCUUGAUGUGUUGGGUCAAGAAGGUUUUCGUUUGGAGAAAGUCUCUCAAGCACCCUACUUUCUCGACGUUUUUGUAGUGCUCGAAGCUCCCUGUUUACCCUUUUUUUCGGACGGAAAGGUCGGGGACGGUGUUGGUGUGAGUCGUAUUCAUUCUGACCAACCGUCUGUCCUUUAUCGUCACUGGUAUACGGCUGUCUUCGACUACUUCCGCGGUCCUUACCACAACAUCACGGUCAAUAAUCUGUACUUCGAAGCCUGUAUCAUUGUCCCAGACAGAGCAGUCUAGGUAGUUCUUGGUCAGUUCAUGCCUUACUAAAAUUACGCAGUACCUACGGAUUAGGGUACAAACGUGGAAAAGAAUAACCAAGGAGAGUCGUCUCCGUUCGACUAUUGAGACCUGACUGAAAACAGGGUUGUCCAGGCGGUCAAGGAAAACAACACGAGGGUAAACAAGGACCGUUAUCACUACCUAGACAAGGUGUCAAGCUCCCUUUACUGCCUUAACUAGUCAAAGGACAGUUACAACGACAAGUUUUAAAAUCAAGUGAGUUACUACAAGUGGUUGGACUAUUGUCACGAUGGAGUUGCUGUAGUAGGUCAUGACAUCCAUUAGGUAGAAUGCUAGUGUUCGGACUGUAAAACUUGUCACUGUAACGGUCGGUAACCGUCUUAAAUGUUAUACCUGCUAAGACGGUUCUACGUGCGGGGUACCCAGGACAUAAUAUGGGAAAACGUCACGGAGGUCCCAUGUACGUCCCCGUACAAGGUACCCUACCCGGACCUUCUGGUGGAAGUGGCUUACAGUUGACCUGUGUCUACCACCCAGGACCGGUUUCUCGGAAAGGAUACUACGGAGAUGUCGGACGAAGUCUUUCUCAAUGACGACAAGGAGGCGUGAUACCUCUCGUACGUGGGUCUAUGGCACCACCUUGUCCUUGGAUGAACGGUUUAGGAUUCCAAGGUAAGUCCCUGGCUCUCGCAGGGAGCUCAAGUUCUAUGAAUUCUCCUCCAAUAUUAUCACUGUUCCCACUGUUAUCACUAUUUCUUCCUUCAACCCGUUUGAGUUCUGUUGCUUUAUGUCCGGCGUUGAUACCUGCAUCGGUCAGUCUCUCCAUACCGUACUCCAGACUAUCCGUCUGUUGUCUACUUCCAGUCAAACUGUCCGUCGCGUCUAGGAUAUCUUUACUGAGUGUGUCCGUACUCCGUCCACGAGUUAUGGAACCUGUCCCAGUUAGAGUACCUAGGUGUUUGAGACGAGCGUCUGGUCCCUUAUAGUGGGUACCCCAAAUGAGUAGUGGUAUACGUCACGGUUUACCACAACCACGAAGUCUAAGUGGUAUAAAAUACCAAAUGGGUAUGCUUGGUCGACGUUUAGUGCCAAGAAGGAGACUUGGCGAACUUAAACCAAGUGACCCCGGUUAGAGAUACCGUCUACUACCACUAGAUGGUGUCGGGUGAGCGGUUCAUUACCGGUUACCGAAAAUACCCGUUUCUGUAUGACGUAAAUCCCAAUCAAGGAGAGUAAGUAGAGGACUAGUUGGUAGGAGUGGAGUUGGAGCGUCCAUCGACCUUCCUACGCUAUCGAACCGAGACUAUGACUUGGCUACGUGUGGGAAGUCAAUUAUAAAUCGAGACCACGCUCACUAAUGCAGUAUGCGCUGACGUAUAACAACCUAGUAGACCACGGGUCUCACGCGUACACGGAAAGACCAUUCGUCGACCACCGGUCUAUGGGGUGGUUAUAAAUCAAGCAGGUUUCUCUGUAGUCAGUCGUCGUCCAGUAAAAUGACCGUUCGUCGACUACUAUGAAACUCUACGGAGCCCUUAUAAAUCAAGGUACCUUUCUGCGUAGUCAGUAAAGUUGUACGAAAUGACCCGAAAGACUCUGAUUUCGUCUUAGUGGAAGACUUAUUUGGUACCUUGGCCCUUCUGCUCUUAUAUAGGAGAAUAACUGGGUUUCCUAUACUAGUUCCUUCCCAAUUCGCUCUUACGGUCGGGAGCAUGACGGUAGAGCUAUAGUCUCUGUUCUGACCCUUCAGUAGCCUAAGAUGAUCAUGACGGACCUGUAGAUAGGUCUCGGCUUUCGAUUAUCACUUGAGUACAGUGAACCGUCUUCGUUCUAGUACAUUAGUACAAAAGUGUAUACCUUUUGAAAGUGCAAUCUACAUAAUCCCAAAUUCUUAGAACUUCAACUCAAAGAUCGAAGUUCCUUAUACUAAUAGACAUAAUGAGAAACCGAUUACUUUUCUAGCUAGCUAGCGAAGCAAACUAGUUGAAGGAAAAGUCUACGCGGGAGACACUACCAAAAUAAGUACACGUCAAACUAAAGAC